GUUGGGAAUAUUGGACAAUGGGCGCAAGCCUGAUCCAGCCAUGCCGCGUGAGUGAUGAAGGCCUUCGGGUCGUAAAGCUCUGUGGAGAGGGAAGACCGGUUGCGGGCUAAUACCCCGUUAGCCAGACGGUACCUCUUUAGCAAGCACCGGCUAACUCCGUGCCAGCAGCCGCGGUAAUACGGAGGGUGCAAACGUUGCUCGGAAUCAUUGGGCGUAAAGCGCACGUAGGCGGUCCAGCAAGUCGGAUGUGAAAGCCCUAGGCUUAACCAAGGAAGUGCAUUCGAAACUGCCGGACUUGAGUACAGGAGAGGAUGGCGGAAUUCCCGGUGUAGAGGUGAAAUUCGUAGAUAUCGGGAGGAACACCAGUGGCGAAGGCGGCCAUCUGGACUGAUACUGACGCUGAGGUGCGAAAGCGUGGGGAGCAAACAGGAUUAGAAACCCUGGUAGUCC
rnacentral:rRNA from 1 species